GACGAACGCUGGCGGCGUGCUUAACACAUGCAAGUCGAACGGAAAGGCCCUGCUUUUGUGGAGUGCUCGAGUGGCGAACGGGUGAGUAACACGUGAGUAACCUGCCCUUGACUUUGGGAUAACUUCAGGAAACUGGGGCUAAUACCGGAUAGGAGCUCCUGCUGCAUGGUGGGGGUUGGAAAGUUUCGGCAGUUGGGGAUGGACUCGCGGCUUAUCAGCUUGUUGGUGGGGUAGUGGCUUACCAAGGCUUUGACGGGUAGCCGGCCUGAGAGGGUGACCGGCCACAUUGGGACUGAGAUACGGCCCAGACUCCUACGGGAGGCAGCAGUGGGGAAUAUUGCACAAUGGGCGGAAGCCUGAUGCAGCAACGCCGCGUGCGGGAUGACGGCCUUCGGGUUGUAAACCGCUUUCGCCUGUGACGAAGCGUGAGUGACGGUAAUGGGUAAAGAAGCACCGGCUAACUACGUG
rnacentral:rRNA from 1 species